UGACGGACGUGACGCGAACUGAAAAAUUAUUAAAAAAAUUAAUUCGCACGCGUGUAACGUACACGGGUAUAGGCACGUAUCGAUCAUUUCGAGGGCGGCCGAACAGGUGUCUUCACGGGUUAUGCGGUCGACGGACGGCGACAAACGACGCGGACGGCCUGUCGCUUAUGAUAACGCCGAUAAUAUCGUCGUAAAUAUUAGCGCUGUACGAU